UUCAUUCCUCAAAAAUGUGCACCUUAGCUCCACAAAUGGAAUUCUUCCAAACCUGCCGAAGACCUCUACCGUGCGGACACCCCUGCGGGGGGAUCCCCAGCGAGAACUCCUGUGCCCCCUGUCUGGUGGAGGGGUGUCAGCCUCACUACGGGGACGGCUGUUGUCCUGUGUGUGCCGAUCCGUGGGCGUCAAACGCCGUCAUACAGCUUGAUUGUGGACACAUAUUUCAUCACGCCUGCAUCAAACAGAUGCUACAAAAUCGCUGGCACGGAUCCAGAAUUACGUUUGGGUUUAUGACAUGCCCACUCUGUAAAAGUUCCAUCAGCCACCCUGACUUGUAUGAAAUCAUGAGUCAGCUGAUUCACUUGUACGAUCAAAUAAAGUCAAAGGCUCUGACACGACUUCAGCACGACGGGUUGUUCAAUUCAAGUGACGUCACAGACCCGUCAGGGAAAUAUUUCCAGGACCCCACUGGAUUUGCUAUGGACAGAUACGCUUACUACAUGUGUUCAAAAUGUCAGCAGGUAGAUAAAAAUAUAGUUAUACUAUAUUUAUUGUUUUCCUUUGAUAUUGUAAUAUACAAUAUUUUUUGUUUUGCCUAUUGGGGUUUACCGUCAAAAUAUUACUAAUAUAAUGUUUUGUAUUAAUCUUUUUUUUUUUUAAAUAAAUAACCCAUUGAAGUUUUGACAUGCAAAUAGAUCUAUGCAAUACUUUGUAGCCUUACUUUGGAGGAGAAGGGCGUUGUCAAGAAUCCGUGGUGGAAGUGGAUCCGUCAGAUUUGGUUUGCCCUCAAUGUUCUGACACCACCAAAAACAAGAUCUGCUCCAUUCACGGUGCCGAGUAUGUUCUAUACAAAUGUCGAUACUGUUGCUCGCCGGCUCUUUUUCACUGUUUCGGUACCACUCAUUUCUGUGACCCCUGUCACAGCAACUACACAACAGUCCAUGACAAACCAGCAUCCAGCUUACCCAAAUGUCCUGCAGGACCUUGCGGGAAGCAACUCCCUGGCUCUGUUUGUCCGCUGGGGAUGGACCACCCUCCCACGGGGGAAGAAUUCGUCAUCGGCUGUGCCAUAUGUAUCAACACUCACUCAUUUUGAAAUCAUUGUACAAAGUUUGUUUUCAAUAAAAUGUUUUUGUUAU
rnacentral:misc_RNA from 1 species